rnacentral:precursor_RNA from 1 species
ACGUCAAAGAUCACGGAAAACAGGUAUUACAGUGAAUUAUCCAAUCUUCGUGGACUAACACAUAAAAUACCGACCAUUGCAUCAAACUCCGAAGUUGAUGAAUUUGUAACCCAGCCACAACCAAGUUUCCACUUGUUUAAGAACACUCGUUGCCUUUUGGUGGGGAACAGGGGAAACAAGAGGCGAAACAAAGACCAAUGGCACUCAAAAUCAAUUAUAUCAACCAUGCUAGUGGUAAUCCGGGUAUUAAUCUGACAGUAAAAUGAGUGAAAUGAUUUUUAUGCCUCUUCUUUUUAUUUUUUUUAAUUGCAAAUUUAUCAUUAAUUUCAAAUAAAAAAUAUUUUAAAAAAAUUUGACCCAGCACAUUUGGAUCAUUGGGUCACCACUUGGCCCCGCCGUGGGUCUGGUCGUGACCAGCACGACAUGGCCCACGAGUCACUUUUAUUUUAUAAAAAAUUAAAAUUAAAAAAUUGAGGGUAUUUAAGUAAUUUAACAUAUUUCUGUUAAAAUUUAAUAAAAGAUCCUAACAGACGAAGGAUAUUGCAAAAAAUUUCAACUUGGAUAUACUUAAUUGAUAGAUUUUUUAAAUUUUAGAGGGACAAUAAAAAAAGUCGUGACAUUUUUGAAAGUAAGUGAAAUUAUCCCACAAAGAAUAUAAUUUACGAUGGGUUUUUGUUUUUCUAAUUCUUAUAAUUACGAGCUUCUUGUAAGUUAUGUAAAUUCAAAAGUUUUGACAGAUAUCCAAAAUGUAUAUGUCAUGAUCUAAAAAAACAAUAAAUGUGUUUGCUUAGAUAAACAAUAAACGCAUUCCACUUGAUCACAAGAAUGUGAGACUUGGGUGUUUUCAUAUAUAUAUAUAUAUAUAUAUGAUAGGGGGAAAUACACUUUAAAACUAUAAAAGUUUUGAAGAAGUCUGAGGAUCGUGUCUUGUCGAAUCCAGUCUUGUCAAAUAUCUUCCACGGCUCCUUAUCAUCCUUAUCAUCGGCAAAGAUAAAGAGCCGUGGUUGAUAUUCACAAUACUGGAUGGACAGAAUCGUCGGCGACAAGGAAACGGCAGUUGUUCGUCUUCACCAAGUUGAAGCCAAUGAGUUUGUUUUCAAGAUCACGAACUUCUUCAGUGCGUUCAAUCUUCCAAGUCAAGGAUGGACAUAAUCGUUGGCUGCGGGACUUGGAAGAUUGAACGCACUGAAGAAGUUCGUGAUCGUGAAAACAAACUCAUUGGCUUCAAGAAAUCAUUUGUCUUCGAAUAUAAAAAGAACAAGGCCAAAGGUAAUGGACACUGGAUCAUGAACGAUUUUUCUCUUCGAGCCUAUUCACAUGCUGAAGGUGUAAGUAUUGUUUAGUAUAUGUA